CCGGAGCUUCUUCUGAUGGUACUGUCAUUAUCAUCCCAUCUGAAAGUGUUUUACAACCCUAAGGCCUUCAUCACACACGCGGCAUCGCUGGAUCAGGGUUGCCCCCAUUGUCCAAUAUUCCCCA
rnacentral:rRNA from 1 species